UACGAGGGGGGCAAAUGUUGUUCGGAAUCACUGGGCGUAAAGGGCGCGUAGGCGGUUUCUUAAGUUUGAAGUGACAGUGGGUGGCUUAACUACCCAAGGCCUUUGAAAACUGGGGAACUUGAGGACCAGAGAGGGACAUAGAAUUCCGGGUGGAGUGGUGAAAUGCGUAGAUAUCCGGAGGAAUACCAAAGGCGAAGGCAGUGUCCUGGAGGGUGACUGACGCUGAGGCGCGAAAGCUAGGGGAGCGAACAGG
rnacentral:rRNA from 1 species